UACGUAGGGGGCAAGCGUUGUCCGGAUUUAUUGGGCGUAAAGAGCGUGUAGGCGGCCAAACAGGUCAGCUGUGAAAACUCGAGGCUCAACCUCGAGACGUCGGUUGAAACCGUUUGGCUAGAGUCCGGAAGAGGAGAGUGGAAUUCCCGGUGUAGCGGUGAAAUGCGCAGAUAUCGGGAAGAACACCCGUGGCGAAGGCGGCUCUCUGGGACGGUACUGACGCUGAGACGCGGAAAGCGUGGGGAGCGAACGAGG
rnacentral:rRNA from 1 species